rnacentral:rRNA from 1 species
GGUAAGUGCAAGUCAUAAGCUUGCGCUGAUUACGUCCCUGCCCUUUGUACACACCGCCCGUCGCUACUACCGAUUGAAUGGUUUAGCAAGGUCCUCGGAUUGGUACCGUUGUAGUGGCUUUUGUCACUCGACCGUUGCCGAGAAGACGAC